rnacentral:rRNA from 1 species
GACGAAAUGUGCAAACGUUAUUCGGAAUCACUGGGCUUAAAGGGUGCGUAGGCGGUCUUGCAAGUAGGGUGUGAAAGCCCCCGGCUCAACCGGGGAACUGCGUCCUAAACUGCGAGGCUAGAGUGAGGUAGGGGUGUGUGGAACUUCCAGUGGAGCGGUGAAAUGUGUUGAUAUUGGAAGGAACGCCGGUGGCGAAAGCGACACACUGGACCUUGUCUGACGCUGAGGCACGAAAGCCAGGGGAGCAAACGGG